AGAGAUACCGUCCUAGAAAAUUAUUUGGAUAUUUCCAAUACACCCAAGAAGCCAUUUUUUCGGUGACAUUAUAUUCAGUGCUUUGAAUGAAAAAGGCAAGUUAAGCUGUAUCUGUAGAAGCAGUAAUUUAUCACCAAAGCAUAAAACUUGAAAUUACCAGCUUUGCUCUCCAAAUCUUUUUUUAAUAGAUGUUCCUAUUCCUUCGGUUCACCUGGCUGUAGACUGGUGAGAUGAACUUAUUUCAAAAAAAUCUUUUCUUACAUCAGGACAUUUCUGUCUGCUGUGCUUUCCAUGCAUUGCUUAACAAACUCAACGGCCGGAAAUGGUUUCGAUUUUUCCAUAAUCACAUUUGCUAUCACCUAACUAGAUUUUAUAACAGAAAUUCAACUUAAAAAAAUUGCUGACACUUUUCAUUUCGGCUAUUUUGUCUUUAUUCCUUGAAACACAUGGAAUUCGUCACCACGUUUGCCUUUUCAAACUGUAAUCUUUGAUAACGGGCAGGAUUUCCUUGCAAGUGAGCAGGGCGCGGAGCGGCCGCCAUGAUGACAAGGCAGCACGGGGCGCGGGCGGCAGCGCGAACUGUUCUGGGCCGCGGGGAGGACGCGCCCGGCCUACAGUGACAGCUACGAACACAGAACGCGCAGCCCGACGAACGCGUUCGCUCCGCUUCUUUACAGGCCGCCACUGCUGGCCAGGGGCCGAGCCGCAACCCGACGGCGACGCCCCACCAGCACGUCCGCUACCGGCUGCCCGUCCCUGGCGGCGGCGCAUGCGCCGGGCGGAGAGGGCCGGCGGCGCUGGCUCUUCCUGCCGCCCGGUGUGGGUCCGGGUGAAGGCUCGCGCCCAGCGAGCGGAGCUGGCCUACCGUUUCCGGUUGUGCCGCGCUCGGCCGUCUGCGAAACACGGUCGAGAAGCACGCGCUUGUCUGAAAGAAGUGCCUCUCUGAGGGGCGAGCCUGAGCUGCAGUGCUCCUGGAGCACCCGCCAUCUCAGUCAAGGUUCUGUGCUAAUGCUGCUUGCACGAUCUGCCAGAGCUGUCUGAGAGGCCAGAACACAAAGACAUUUUGUAGUGGUA